AGCAGUCGCCACGGUAAAACGUAGGUGGCAAGCGUUGUCCGGAAUUAUUGGGCGUAAAGGGCUCGCAGGCGGUUUCUUAAGUCUGAUGUGAAAGCCCCCGGCUCAACCGGGGAGGGUCAUUGGAAACUGGGAAACUUGAGUGCAGAAGAGGAGAGUGGAAUUCCACGUGUAGUGGUGAAAUGCGUAGAGAUGUGGAGGAACACCAGUGGCGAAGGCGACUCUCUGGUCUGUAACUGACGCUGAGGAGCGAAAGCGUGGGGAGCGAACAGGAUUAGAGACCCCCGUAGUCCCUGUCUCUUAUAC
rnacentral:rRNA from 1 species